CCCCUGCGGGUGCCUUCCCACUGGUCCUGCCUACUGGUCUUGGCACUGGCUGGGCACAGCCCAUCCCCCUUCUCAGUGGCCUUCCCAGACCAACCUGUUCUGGGUGUGGGUCUCAGUGACAGCUAUCCCUCUCCUGCUUCCGCUUCAGCCUGUGCCUUCCACUUUCCCCUAGUAUCCUUCCUUGCAUGACCCACUCUGAAGCCUGCCUACCCCCAGGGGUUUACUAGAGGAAGAAAGGACUGAGGAUUGGGACCCGGGACUGCCUAGCCCCUCACAUCCAAGGUUAUGAGGCUAUAGAAAGCUUAACUUUGCAAGUCAGAAUCGAGUUUGAGUGGCAGCUUCUCUAGGAUGUAGAGGAAUUAUCUCAGUUCUGAGCUUCUGUGUCCCUCUCUGUAAAGGAAGGCUUUCAUUGAUUUAUUUAUCUAUGCCUGAAAGUGUUUGUGGGGUACACACAUGUGGCAGGACAGCCCACAGGGGAUUGAGACCCCGUACCUUUUGGGCAAGGUUGCUGGGAGGCAUCAAAGAGGUACUGACUGUCGAAUCACAUUGUGUUUGGCAACUGGUACACGCUAAAUGGAUUCUGUUGGUUCUGGUGUGAUUGGAAAGGUGAUUUUUAUUAGUACUAUGAAUAUCAUUCAUUGUUCUUGGCCAGGAGACAGGACAGGGGUUACUAUCCCAUUUCACAGAAUGGAAAGCAGAUCCUCCUGUGGGGGUUGUUAAGGUCCUGAUGCUCUGACUCACCCUGUUCUGACCCAGCUCCCUCUGCUGUGUAACACCCUCGGGUGGCUGCCACUACCCUGAGGGUCAAGUUCAGUCUCUUUCCUAUCCACCUGCCUGAAAUGGAGGGGAGCAGAGGGCUCUGGAUUCAUGAACUCUGUGACUCCACCAGGGCUUGUCAGGUGCCUGCCUUGCUGGGUGCUCAGGAUGUGGAGUACAGAGGAUGGAUACAGGAGAGGGGGGAUGGGAUGAAACCAGAUCGUGGCUGCUUAGAGUGAUAAGCUCCACGGUGUGGAGCAGGCAGUGAUGCUUGGGGGGAGGAAAUCCCUCAAAUCUUCCUGGGAGGGAGGGAGAAGGGAAGGCUCCCCAGAGGAGGAGGAGCUUGACUCUUGAAGGAUGUGUAGGAGUUUGCCAGGGGAAGGAGUCUCUGUAAAGGCAGGGGGUGUGGAUGGGCAAGGAGUUCUCAGAGAAGAACACACAGGUCCCAGCAGUGGUGGGGGGAGGCUGGAGAUGAGGAAGACUCUGAGACUUCAGGAGGAGGGGAUCUGAGGACAGUGGGGAGCCAUAGCAGGUGUUUGGGAACUGACAAGAUCAGACGUGCAGUUGCCCAAUGGGGCUUGUGGCUGGGGAAGGAAUGGUUCUGGUGGCCCUGAGGUACAGAACUGAGAGGCUUCUGCAGGAAUGCAGGCAGAUGGCCUCAGCAGAGCACACACUUGGAGAUAAGAAAGUUUCUAUGUUAAAUAAGUCUGGGAAAUCAGAACAUCAGUAAGAUAUGCGAAGGGAAGCAGUUUAUGUGGGUUCUGCAGUUUACUAGCUGUGCCAUCUUGGACAAGUUAAUUCAGUUCUCUGGAUCUUGGUUUUCUUAUCUGAACAGUGGUGUAAGGAAAGUGUCAGGAUGAAAUGAAGGGCACAAUAUAAACAAACACUGUGCCCCAGAGCUUUGCUGUCCAGUAGGUUAGCCACUAGCCCCAAGUGCUUGUGAGAGCACCUGCAGUGUGGCUGAUUGAAUCCAGGUGUGUUGUCAGGUAAACUAGACACUGGU
rnacentral:lncRNA from 1 species